rnacentral:rRNA from 1 species
AGCGUUGCUCGGAAUCACUGGGCGUAAAGCGCACGUAGGCGGAUUGUUAAGUCAGGGGUGAAAUCCUGGAGCUCAACUCCAGAACUGCCUUUGAUACUGGCGAUCUUGAGUCCGGGAGAGGUGAGUGGAAUUCCGAGUGUAG